GAUGAACGCUGGCGGCGUGCCUAAUACAUGCAAGUCGAACGGAAAGGCGCUGCUCUUGCUGCGUGCUUGAGUGGCGAACGGGUGAGUAACACGCGUGUAACCUGCCCUUGACUGUGGGAUAACUCCAGGAAACUGGGGCUAAUACCGGAUAGGAUCUUCUGCAGCACGGUGGGGGUUGGAAAGAUUCGGCGGUGGGGGAUGGACUCGCGGCUUAUCAGCUUGUUUGUGGGGUAGUGACUUACAAAGGUUGCGACGGGUAGCCCGCCUGAGAGGGUGACCAGCGACAAUGGGACUACGAGACGGACCAGACUGCUACGGGAGGCAGCGGUGGAGAAUAUUACACAAUGGGCGGAAGCCUGAUGCAGCAGCCCCGCGUGCGGGAUAACGGCCUUCGAGUUGUAAACCGCUUUCGCCGGUGACGAAGCGUGAGUGACGGUAAUGGGUAAAGAAGCACCGGCUAACUACGUG
rnacentral:rRNA from 1 species